rnacentral:rRNA from 1 species
UGAGAUAACUGUGGUUAAGGAACUCGGCAAAAUGCCCCCGUAACUUCGGGAGAAGGGGGACCCAGGCUGGUGAACACCUUUGCGGUGGGAGCUGGUGUGGGUCGCAGAGACCAGAGAGAAGCGACUGUUUACUAAAAACACAGGUCCGUGCGAAGUCGUAAGACGAUGUAUACGGACUGACGCCUGCCCGGUGCUGGAAGGUUAAGAGGACCGGUUAGUGGAUUCGUCCGCGAAGCUGAGAAUUUAAGCCCCAGUAAACGGCGGUGGUAACUAUAACCAUCCUAAGGUAGCGAAAUUCCUUGUCGGGUAAGUUCCGACCUGCACGAAUGGCGUAACGACUUCUCUGCUGUCUCAACCACAGACUCGGCGAAAUUGCAGUACGAGUAAAGAUGCUCGUUACGCGCGGCAGGACGAAAAGACCCCGGGACCUUCACUAUAGCUUGGUAUUGGUGUUCGGUACGGUUUGUGUAGGAUAGGUGGGAGACUGUGAAGCCGGCACGCCAGUGUUGGUGGAGUCGUUGUUGAAAUACCACUCUGAUCGUAUUGGACUUCUAACCUCGGACCCUGAUCGGGUUCAGGGACAGUGCCUGGUGGGUAGUUUAACUGGGGCGGUUGCCUCCUAAAAGGUAACGGAGGCGCCCAAAGGUUCCCUCAGCCUGGUUGGCAAUCAGGUGUUGAGUGUAAGUGCACAAGGGAGCUUGACUGUGAGACGUACAUGUCGAGCAGGGACGAAAGUCGGGACUAGUGAUCCGGCACCGGCAAGUGGAAGCGGUGUCGCUCAACGGAUAAAAGGUACCCCGGGGAUAACAGGCUGAUCUUCCCCAAGAGUCCAUAUCGACGGGAUGGUUUGGCACCUCGAUGUCGGCUCGUCGCAUCCUGGGGCUGGAGUAGGUCCCAAGGGUUGGGCUGUUCGCCCAUUAAAGCGGCACGCGAGCUGGGUUUAGAACGUCGUGAGACAGUUCGGUCUCUAUCCGCCGCGCGCGUAAGAAACUUGAGGAAACCUGUCCCUAGUACGAGAGGACCGGGACGGACGAACCUCUGGUGUGCCAGUUGUCCCGCCAGGGGCACCGCUGGUUAGCUACGUUCGGAAGGGAUAACCGCUGAAAGCAUCUAAGCGGGAAGCCUGUUCCAAGAUGAGGUUUCUCACCCCCUCAGCGGGGUUAAGGCCCCCCACAGAUCAUGGGGUUGAUAGGCCAGAACUGUAAGCACAGCAAUGUGUUCAGGUGACUGGUACUAAUCGGCCGAGGAC